rnacentral:rRNA from 1 species
GCCAGAGGGUGCAAGCGUUAAUCGGAAUUACUGGGCGUAAAGCGUACGUAGGCGGCUAGGUAAGUCGGAUGUGAAAUCCCCGGGCUUAACCUGGGAGUGUCAUUCGAGACUGGCUUGCUGGAGUGGGGUAGAGGAGAGUGGAAUUUCCGGUGUAGCGGUGAAAUGCAUAGAUAUCGGAAGGAACACCAGUGGCGAAGGCGGCUUUCUGGUCCAGUACUGACGCUGAAGAGCGAAAGCGUGGGGAGCAAACAGG